UACGUAGGGGGCGAGCGUUGUCCGGAUUUAUUGGGCGUAAAGAGCGUGUAGGCGGCCAGGUAGGUCUGCUGUGAAAACUCGAGGCUCAACCUCGAGACGUCGGCGGAAACCAUCUGGCUAGAGUCCGGAAGAGGAGAGUGGAAUUCCUGGUGUAGCGGUGAAAUGCGCAGAUAUCAGGAAGAACACCCGUGGCGAAGGCGGCUCUCUGGGACGGUAUUGACGCUGAGGCGCGAAAGCCAGGGGAGCAAACGGG
rnacentral:rRNA from 1 species